rnacentral:rRNA from 1 species
AAGCUACUAAGAGCGAAUGGUGGAUGCCUUGACUGGUAGAGGCGAUGAAGGACGUACUAGACUGCGAUAAGCUAGGUGGAGCUGUCAAGAAGCUUUGAUGCCUAGAUUUCCGAAUGGGGCAACCCAGUAUAUAGAGAUAUAUACUACCAUAAUGGAGCGAACGAGGGGAAUUGAAACAUCUUAGUACCCUCAGGAAAAGAAAUCAAACGAGAUUGCGUCAGUAGCGGCGAGCGAAAGCGUAAGAGGGCAAACCCAGUGCUUGCACUGGGGGUUGUAGGACUGCAAUGUGCAAGAGGAAAGGUUAGCAGAACACUCUGGAAAGUGUAGCCAUAGAGGGUGAUAGUCCCGUAUGCAAAAACCUAACCUUAGCUAGCAGUAUCCUGAGUAGGGCGGGACACGAGAAAUCCUGUCUGAAGCUGGGUAGACCACUAUCCAACCCUAAAUACUACUACCAGAUCGAUAGCGAACAAGUACCGUGAGGGAAAGGUGAAAAGAACGGCGGUGAGCCGAGUGAAAUAGAACCUGAAACCAUUUGCUUACAAUCAUUCAGAGCACUAUGUAGCAAUACAGUGUGAUGGACUGCCUUUUGCAUAAUGAGCCUGCGAGUUGUGGUGUCUGGCAAGGUUAAGCUAACGCGAAGCCGUAGCGAAAGCGAGUCUGAAUAGGGCGCUAAGUCAGAUGCUGCAGACCCGAAACGAAGUGAUCUAUCCAUGAGCAGGUUGAAGCUAGUGUAAGAACUAGUGGAGGACCGAACCCGCUAGCGUUGAAAAGCUAUGGGAUGACUUGUGGAUAGGGGUGAAAGGCCAAUCAAACUUCGUGAUAGCUGGUUCUCUCCGAAAUAUAUUUAGGUAUAGCGUUGUGUCGUAACUAAAGGGGGUAGAGCACUGAAUGGGCUAGGGCAUACACCAAUGUACCAAACCCUAUCAAACUCCGAAUACCUUUAGUGUAAUCACAGCAGUCAGGCGGCGAGUGAUAAAAUCCGUCGUCAAGAGGGAAACAACCCAGACUAACAGCUAAGGUCCCCAAAUCUUACUUAAGUGGAAAACGAUGUGAAGUUACUUAAACAACCAGGAGGUUGGCUUAGAAGCAGCCAUCCUUUAAAGAAAGCGUAAUAGCUCACUGGUCUAGUGAUUUUGCGCGGAAAAUAUAACGGGGCUAAAGUAAG